UNGGCUUCUGCCAUGCGUAGACCAGGUGAC
rnacentral:piRNA from 1 species